rnacentral:lncRNA from 1 species
AUGUAAUUGGGUAAACAUGUGCACCUUCUUCUUCUUCAUCUCCAUCGACCACCAUGAUGAUCUUCAGAUGCCUCCUGAUCGGGCAAUCUCUUUUGUUAAUUCACCACCGCCAUUUUUGGUCUCAAAUCUCAAUGAUCGGACCGUACCAUUGCAUCCGUAAUGAUCAAAUUAGCUGGAAACAAGUCUGAAAUCAUCCAAAUCGC